CACUAGGCUGUAAUGUAAAGACUGCAUUUUCUCUGAAAAGACAGUGUUUACAGCAAAAAGCCUGAUGGUAAUGAUUCUACUCACCAGAACAAAUUCAAUAAGCUGUAGUUGUUCUGGUGACUCUAGUGUCCCUUUAACUAUAUCCAUUGUCAGCCAGUCCACACAAGUUUUGUUCCCAAUAAUCCCUCUUAAGUUUCCAUACUUAAGUAAGAGUAUGUGAAAAGUAGUUAGGGUUGCCACCUUUCUUGGAAAAACAUACCGGCCUUGCUAAUUUGCAUAAUUAAAUAUGUAUGGGUGACAUCACAUGAUGUAAAUCACAAGGAGUGACAUAAGAGAAAGUGCUGUAAAAUCACCAAAAAACUACUUAGUUUGAUUCUGCUGUAUAGAUGGAUUCCUCCCAGUGCCCCCAUGUGUCGAUUACUCCAGGUCUCAGUGUUCCUAUGUAUCAGUGUCUUAGUGCCCCAUGUCUCCCAGUGUCCCCUAGUGUCGUGUCCCCAGGUCUCCCAGUGAUCCUAUGUAUCACAGUGUCUCAAUGCCCCAUGUCUCCCUGUGUCCCCAUGUAUCCCAGUGUCCCCAUGUCACUAGGAAGAC